CCAUUGCGCUACGUUCCUUCGCCCAGGCACAGAAAGAUAGAGGCACUGCCCUGGAACACCACUUUGCAGCACUCCUCCUAACACCAACCUAGCCAUGAGAAUAUGCUUAGGAAUGCUCUGAAACAUUUUUCUGCAUUUUGCUUGGAAGUAUUCGAUAAAUGUUCUAUUCUACUCGCACUCCAGUUUUCAGUAUUCGAGUUUGCUUGGCAUCCAGAAUAUUGCCAUUCACACAGCUCUAGUGAUAACACUAGAACAGUGGUUCUCAGCCAUGGAGGUUUCGGGGACCCCUUGUGGACCGAUGGAACUGAUGAAGGAAGCUCCUUGCAGUGAGGGAAAAGAUCUUAGCACAAAAUGCAGCUUGAAAUAGGUGCCUUUUAUUUCUCCCUGGCAAACAGUGGUCAAACUAAAAGGCCGUGCCAAUUCGAUCUCAACAGCUUGUCAAUAAGUUGUGCACUCUGCAGCCACAUUCAACCGGUGUCGGGCUAUGUUUGCUCUUGAAAUAUGCAAGCCUAGAAAAUGUAUGCCCACCAGCACGUCGUCGAAAGCUGCAACAAAAAGCUUUACAACCAUCUCAUGAAGAGCAGCUAACAUAAGUCACCUUCGCUGCAAUGACAAAAUGUUAUGCAGAGAAGCAUAUUAAAAAUUAGAAGGGGCUGUGUCACGGGACAUACUGUGCCUCCAAAAUAUGCGUUUUUUUUUCUUUGCUCUUUUUUCGAGGGUGGGUUUUGAGGACCCCCAGAAAUGGCUUCACGCAACCCCUGGGGUCCAUGGAGCCCCAUUCGAGAACCACUGCACUAUAAUGCACUGUGACGCAUCUGUAAAAGCUGAUGAAAUUCGUUGCCAAUCAAAUUACCGAUGUCCGAUGACUGUGGUUGCCGCUAUCAGUGUGUAUUUCUUGCACUUUGACUGUUCGUUUCCUGAGUACAAGUUCGUCCAAUAAAGAGUCUUGUCUUUAACAGCCCGACCGCCGCCUCGUUCACUGUCACAACCAUGCGUCAGUAUUGAGGUUCGACUCUAUUGCCCUGCUGUGGUUUCUAGGGCGUUCGUCCCACGCCUUUUUCUUCGGGGGGUAACACUAGGUUUGCCCUCCUUCCGCAGCGGCAGCAGCCAUGGCCAAGGCAGCCGAGGCAUCGCACAACUCGGCCUACUACAACCCAGCCAACCCAGGUUCCAUGUAUGUGCCGGCCCCUCCGCCAUCCUUUGACCAGGCCAGUGCCAGUGCACCACCGGAGGGACCACCGCCACCGUACUCCGAGGGUUCCAAGAAGACCAACUGAGGACAGGCAGCGCUGGGCCUCCUCCCGUGCACAGUAGCCCCCCUUUCUCCUUUGCCUGGAUUAGUCUCUAACCUGUCUGCAAGUGCAGGGAUGACAUUCCCUUUCACACCCAUAAAAAUGGGGAAAUAAACAUGUGAGCGGAGAACACUUUAUCUCUUGUUAAUGUGCAGGGCAAAAGACGCUUGCGUAUAGUACUCCAGUUCUCGCCAAGUUCACUGUGGUGUUUGGCAUCAUACGUUGCACGACUGACAGUGUAGCGUGUAGUCUGUUGAAGUGGUUCUGGUCAUGUUUACAGAUUAUACUUGGCUGUAUGGUUUUAUGUAAUAAAGAUGUUUAUGAUAGUUUGACUGGA